UUAGGUUAAGUUAUGAAGGGCGCAUGGUGAAUGCCUUGGUACUAGGAGCCGAUGAAGGACGGGACUAACACCGAUAUGCUUCGGGGAGCGGUAAGUACGCUUUGAUCCGGAGAUUUCCGAAUGGGGCAACCCAAUCAGCUUAGUCGCUGAUUACUUGACUAGUGAAUACAUAGCUAGCAAGAGGUAGACGCAGUGAACUGAAACAUCUUAGUAGCUGCAGGAAGAGAAAGAAACAUCGAUUCCCUGAGUAGCGGCGAGCGAAAAGGGAAGAGCCCAAACCAACGAGCUUGCUUGUUGGGGUUGUAGGACUGAACAUUAGAGUUACCAAAGUGCGACGUAGUCGCAACAGUUGGGAAGCUGUGCCAUAGAGGGUGAAAGCCCCGUAGACGAAACGUCGCACUCUCUGUUCAGGAUCCUGAGUACGGCGGGACACGUGAAACCCCGUCGGAACCCGCGAGGACCAUCUCGCAAGGCUAAAUACUCCCUAGUGACCGAUAGUGAACCAGUACCGUGAGGGAAAGGUGAAAAGCACCCCGGAAGGGGAGUGAAAUAGUUCCUGAAACCAUGUGCCUACAAGCUGUCGGAGCCCGUUAAUGGGUGACGGCGUGCCUCUUGCAGAAUGAACCGGCGAGUUACGAUUGCAUGCAAGGUUAAGGUGGAAAAACCGGAGCCGUAGCGAAAGCGAGUCUUAAAUGGGCGUAAGAAGUAUGUAGUUGUAGACCCGAAACCAGGUGACCUACCCAUGUCCAGGUUGAAGGUGCGGUAAAGCGCACUGGAGGACCGAACCCGUGUCAGUUGAAAAUGGCUGGGAUGAGGUGUGGGUAGCGGUGAAAUUCCAAACGAACUUGGAGAUAGCUGGUUCUCUCCGAAAUCUCUUUAGGGGGAGCCUUGAGGUAAAGAAUCGUGGAGGUAGAGCUACUGUUUGGACAAGGGGCCCGUCAUGGGUUACCAACUUCAGAUAAACUCCGAAUGCCAUCGAUUUAUACUCAGGAGUCAGACGAUGAGUGAUAAGAUCCACCGUCGAAAGGGGAACAGCCCAGAUCACCAGUUAAGGUCCCUAAAUAUAUGCUAAGUGGAAAAGGAUGUGGAGUUGCAUAGACAACUAGGAUGUUGGCUUAGAAGCAGCCACCAUUUAAAGAGUGCGUAAUAGCUCACUAGUCGAGUGAUCCUGCGCCGAAAAUGUACCGGGGCUAAGCAUAUUACCGAAACUGUGGAUGUGCACUAUGUGCACGUGAUAGGAGAGCGUUCUAAGGGCGG
rnacentral:rRNA from 1 species